GUUUUAGGAAAAUAACGACUGCUUAAAAAUUUUACUCCAGUAUCAAGCUCAAACGCACUGAUAGCUUCCAACAAUCCUUCAAUUAGCUGCUUAAAUCUGGAAUUUUCUUUGAGACUUCUCUUGGUAACUUCAGUCUUACACAGAGGGCACUGUAUUACACCUUUUUUCUUUCUGCUGAGAAGUUUAAACAUACAGAAUCUGCAGAAUACGUGAUCACAUUUUGUUGAAACCGGCUCUUUUAUCACAUCUAAACAGACUGGACACUCCAAGUUCUUCUGCAUGGCUGAAAGCACAUUUUGCACGUCUCCAAUGGCAAUCACUGACAAGUCCAUCCUUCAGACCCCAAAACACUCUGAGGAACCCCAGGCACCGUCAACACCG
rnacentral:lncRNA from 1 species